rnacentral:rRNA from 1 species
UACGUAGGUGGCAAGCGUUGUCCGGAUUUACUGGGCGUAAAGAGCGCGUAGGCGGCCUGUUAAGUCGAACGUGAAAUCCCCGGGCUCAACCCGGGAACUGCGUCCGAUACUGGCAGGCUUGAAUCCGGGAGAGGGAUGUGGAAUUCCAGGUGUAGCGGUGAAAUGCGUAGAUAUCUGGAGGAACACCGGUGGCGAAGGCGGCAUCCUGGACCGGUAUUGACGCUGAGGCGCGAAAGCCAGGGGAGCAAACGGG